CUUGAUCAACUAUAAGAGGUCAAGCCUGCCCAGUGACAUUGUUCAACGGCCGCGGUAUCCUAACCGUGCGAAGGUAGCGUAAUCACUUGUCCUUUAAAUAAGGACUAGUAUGAACGGCUUCACGAAGGCUAUACUGUCUCCUUAAUCUAAUCAAUUAAACUAAUCUCCCCGUGAAGAAGCGGGGAUUCGUCUAUAAGACGAGAAGACCCUAUGGAGCUUUAAACAUCUAAGACACUUGAUUAUAUCUACUAAACUUCAUGCAACCUAUCAUUUUGUCUUAAGUUUUAGGUUGGGGUGACCACGGAGAAAAAUUAAACCUCCACGUAGAAAGAAAAUUCUUUUCUAAGCAAAAAGCCACAUCUUAACGCAUCAAUAUAUUGACUUAAAUUGACCCAAUUUCUUGCUCAACGAAC
rnacentral:rRNA from 1 species